UUUAUGGAGAGUUUGAUCCUGGCUCAGGAUGAACGCUGGCGGCGUGCCUAAUACAUGCAAGUCGAGCGAACGGACGAGAAGCUUGCUUCUCUGAUGUUAGCGGCGGACGGGUGAGUAACACGUGGAUAACCUACCUAUAAGACUGGGAUAACUUCGGGAAACCGGAGCUAAUACCGGAUAAUAUUUGAACCGCAUGGUUCAAAAGUGAAAGACGGUCUUGCUGUCACUUAUAGAUGGAUCCGCGCUGCAUUAGCUAGUUGGUAAGGUAACGGCUUACCAAGGCAACGAUGCAUAGCCGACCUGAGAGGGUGAUCGGCCACACUGG
rnacentral:rRNA from 1 species